rnacentral:rRNA from 1 species
UACGUAGGGGGCAAGCGUUGUCCGGAAUCAUUGGGCGUAAAGAGCGUGUAGGCGGCCCGAUAAGUCCGCCGUGAAAGUCCAGGGCUCAACCCUGGAAUGCCGGUGGAAACUGUCGGGCUCGAGUCCGGAAGAGGCGAGUGGAAUUCCUGGUGUAGCGGUGAAAUGCGCAGAUAUCAGGAAGAACACCAAUGGCGAAGGCAGCUCUCUGGGACGGUACUGACGCUGAGACGCGAAAGCGUGGGGAGCGAACAGG